UGCCAGCAGCCGCGGUAAUACGGAGGGGGUUAGCGUUGUUCGGAAUUACUGGGCGUAAAGCGCGCGUAGGCGGGUAAGUUAGUCAGAUGUGAAAUUUCGAGGCUCAACCUCGGAGCUGCAUUUGAAACUGCUCACCUUGAGGGUAGACGGGGAAAACGGAAUUCCACAUGUAGCGGUGAAAUGCGUAGAUAUGUGGAAGAACACCUGUGGCGAAAGCGGUUUUCUAGUUUAUUCCUGACGCUGAGGCGCGAAAGCAAGGGUAGCAAACAGGAUUAGAUA
rnacentral:rRNA from 1 species